UACGUAGGGGGCGAGCGUUGUCCGGAAUCAUUGGGCGUAAAGCGCGUGUAGGCGGCUCGAUAAGUCCGGGGGGAAACCUUGGGGCUCAACCCCAAGCCUGCACUGGAUACUGCCGAGCUAGAGUCCGGGAGGGGAGAGCGGAAUUCCUAGUGUAGCGGUGAAAUGCGCAGAUAUUAGGAAGAACACCGGUGGCGAAGGCGGCUCUCUGGAACGGUACUGACGCUGAGACGUGAAAGCGUGGGGAGCGAACAGG
rnacentral:rRNA from 1 species